rnacentral:lncRNA from 1 species
GCUGCACAAGCCUAAGCCGCACACGCCUAAGCCGCAGCAGUCAAGCAUUCCUACAGGACUUCCUCCAACAGGAUCUUGCUUCAAGUGCCAGAAAUCUGGCCACUGGGCCAAGGAAUGCCCGCAGCCCGGAAUUCCUCCCAAGCCAUGUCCCAUCUGUGCAGGGACCCACUGGAAAUCAGACUGCCCAGCUCUCCCGGCAGCCACUUCUAGAGCCCCUAAAGCUCUAGCCCAAGGCUCUCUGACUGACUCCUUCCCAGAUCUGCUCGGCUUAGUGGUUGAAGACUGAUGCGGCCUGAUCACCUUGGAAACCCCCUGGACCAUCACGGAUGCCGAGCUUCGGGUAACUCUCACAGUGGAGGCCUGCCUGCACCCAGGUGAUUAAAAAGCUUUAUUGCUCAUACAAAGCCUGUUUGGUGGUCUCUUCACAUGGACAUGCCUGAAAACUGCCACACCUGAGGUGCAGGGAUAAGAAGGGUGGCACAGGGAUCCCAGCCUGAGGCUGUUUCUGAAGGCUAUACAGGAGGCAUGGCACCAGCAUCUGCUCAGCUUCUGGGGAGCCCUCAGGAAGCUUCCAAUCAUGGUGGAAGGUGAAGAGGGAGCUGUCAUCUCACAUCGUGAGAGCAGGAACAAGAGUCUGAGGGACUUCUACACUGCUGGUGUGAAUGUAAACUAGUACAACCACUACGGAAAACAGUGUGGAGAAAAGUAGAACUACAAUUUGAUCCAGCAAUCCCACUACUGGGCAUCUACCCAGAGGAAAAGAAGUCAUUAUAUGAAAAAGAUACUUGCACAUGCAUGUUUAUAGCAGCGCAAUUUUCAAUUGCAAAAACGUGGAACCAACCCAAAUGCCCACCGAUUAACAAGUGGAUAAAGAAACUGUGGUGUAUAUAUGAUAGAAUACUACUCAGCCAUAAAUGGAAUGAAUUAAUGGCAUUUACAGUGACCUGGAUGAGACUGGAGACUAUUAUUCUAAGUGAAGUAACUCAGGGAUGGAAAACCAAACAUCAUAUUCUUUCACUCCUAUGAGGAUGCAAAGGUAUAGGAAUGACACAAUAGACUUUGGGGACUCAGGGGAAAGGUGGGAAGGGGGUGAGGGAUAAAAGACUACAAAUUGGGUGCAGUAUGUACUGCUUGGGUGAUGGGUGCACCAAAAUCUCACAAGUCACCACCAAAGAACUUACUCAUGUAAUCAAAUACCAUCUGCUCCCCAAUAACGUACGGAAAUAAAAAAAAUUAAAAAAAAGAGUCUGAAGGGGAAGAUGCCACACACUCUUAAACAGCCAGAUCUUGCAAUAACUCACUCACUAUUGCAAGGAUAGCAUGAAGAGGACGGCGCUAAACCAUUCUUGAGAAAUCCACCUCCAUGAUACAAUCACCUCCCACCACGGCCCACCUCCAACACUGGGGAUUACAAUUUAACGUGAGACGUAGAGAGGACAACAUCCAAACUAUAUCAAUAGUAUUUGUUGCAUUUUUUUGCAUUUCCUAAUAAAAACUUAAAUAUGUGAGCUAUCCAAACAAACAUAUCCAAAUGGGCCCCAAUAUUUAUAACUUAUAAUAUGGUAGUGACUCAUGAGGAAGAAAUGAUAGGGGCAGGAGGGCAUUUGAGAAGGCAACAGUGUACAGGGCUCUGCAGGAGGCCCUGAGGUCACACAGUACACUGGAAAAGACUCCAGACUCCCUGGGAUGGAGGCUGCAGGGAUGGGGAAGAAAAGUGGAUCCAGGAGGCCUGGGUUCUAGUCUUCCUCCACAGCUAAAAACUUAGUGCUCUGGACAAGCCCUUCAUCUCCCUGGGCCUCAGGUGUCUCAUCUAUAAAAUGAGCAUGCUUGGACCUUAUCUGGAAGAAAUGCUUUCCUGAUGUUCUUUCCAGGGCUUGCCAUGCUUAUUUCUUGCACUCUAGGAUUAAGGACAAGUAUUUUCAGUUCUCCCUACUACUGGCUGGCUGUGUGAGCCAUUUCUCUGCAAACAGGAGUAUUCUUGCUGUUCCUCUGGUCAAUCCAGAAGCUCAUGGGAAAGUGCUCUGCAAUCUUGAACAGGAAGCAAGGAAUGUGUCAUCCCUACUAAGAUCACCUUUCCUCUUCUCCUGUUCUCAGAGAUCCCCAGAAGCACCCCUGGGUCAACAGCCACCUUUGCCGGUAUUGACUGGGAAGAGUCCCCAAGAGUGGUAUUGGGUCCAGGCAGUUGUAGCACAUGAACCCUUGUGAGUGGAGGUUGACCUUCAGGAUGGUGGUGCUCACCCCGCUGAAGGAUUCUGGGCAAACUAAGCAAAGGGUUAGUUUACAAUUUUCCCUCCUGGUUUUUUUUUUUUUUUUUCCCUUGGAGGCUUAAAGAAGAACAAAUUCUUAUCCGCAGUAUCCUGUUCCCAGACUCCCAUCUUCUUGCCUCCCCAUGGGUCCUUAGCCUCCCUUAAAUCCUUUAGAAAAGAGCUGGCUCCCAGAAGAUACGGGGAGAACUGCAAUUUGCCCUUUUCCAAAGCCUAUCAUUCAUUCUGGGUCUUUUUCUCAUCCCCUCGCUUCCAGUUCUAAUUUGGUGCCUGGGGCCGCUCUCUUCUUGAAUGAUUAGAACCAGAGGGCAAUCAAAAAGAAACGAACUUAAUGCAGAGGAGAGAGGGGAGCCAGCAGCUUUGGGGACAUUUCUCUUCCCUCAAGGGAUGAGGUAGAUUUUCCUAAAUCUAUAAUUAACAAGAUGAAAAAAGACACUUCAAGAAUUCAUAACUCUCGGAAAAUACUCCAGUUUGGGAAACACUGGUCUGGAACUUGUGGUGAGUCAGCUCUUGAUUCGUGAAGACAGAGAUGCACAGUUACCACAUUGAGAAGAUAGUAGAUGAUGUAAACCCAUUGGAGAAAUGGAAACUUUCCCAUGGGAAAGGCUGCAUGGGUGGAGGAAGCAGUCCUCUGGUGGAAUAGAAUGAUAACAUACCAUUCAUCACAGCCCCAGGUAUUGUGCUAAGUGCUUCACAUUUAACUCAUACAACCACCCAUGAAGUAGGUCCAAUUAUUAGCCCCAUUUUGCAGGUGAAGAAAUAGAACCAUGCAAAUCUAUGCAGUUUUCCUAAGACCCUACAGCCAGUUAAAGCCACCGAAGCAACAAAUGCUGACAUCUAGAAGAAUGUGUGAAUAGGUGGCUGGAGUCAACAAACGCCUAAUUAAUCAAUUGGUGUCAUCUUAUACACCCAUCCCUCCAAAAGUUGCUAUUAUUUACUUUCCCUGGCCCCAGAAAAAGGGAGACCCCAGGACAGUGUCCUGGACUGGAAUUAGGACUGCUCCAUUCUAUAAACAGGUCAGCCCCUCAUUCUGUGUGUGACCUUGAGUGAGUGAGACCCUUCCUGAUCCUAGGUCUUGGUCUCUACAUCUGUCAGAGGAGGUAGUGAGACCAGCUGGCUUCGAAAGUUCAACCCAGUCCCACCGUUCCAGUACAUGCCAGUCUACCUGACUCCAUGGGGGAGGUUUUGGGGGUGGGGUGGAUCUUCACGUUGCAGCUGCUGUUUAUGACUUUUCCAAGGCCCCUCCUGCCUGGGCUCCUCGCCCCCGUGCUUGGCAUGCUUGGCUCUGUCUUGCAGCGAAGCGAGCUGUGUAGGAGUUUCUAGCUGCCUGUCUCUUUUGGGUUCUCCCUUUUGGGAUGUCUUUUCACACCUCCAAGUGCUGGGUGGGAGUGGACGAAUGCCACAUGUUUGGCUCUGAUGCCUUCCUUUCCCCUCUGUGGGAUGCUUCCAGCCCAAGAUCUGAGCAUGGAUGCCUCUGUGCUGACCCUUUGUGAGGCUGCUGGGUCAUGUCUGCAGAGCAGCAACCCAUCACCACAGCACUCUUCCUUACUCCCGGAAGGCCAGCAGAAGCUGCUCCUUUGCUGGAGCUUGUCCCCACCCAAUGGAGGGGGCUGAUUAAUUAUGUAGCCUCAGGCAAGUCACAUCUCCUCAUUGGGCCUCAGUUUUUACAUUUGUAAAAUGAAAGGAUUAGACCAGACAGGCCCCUAGGAUACUCCCAACUCUAAUGUUGUGCAGUUUAUUUCAUUUCUGUUUGUUUCAUGUCAUUCCCAGUGCCCUCAUAUCCUUCGUGUCUUGUAGACAUCAUAUCUGCCAGCUGAGAUUUUUAGCUGCUUCAAACACCCCACUGGAGGGACAUAUCUCAGCAUGCUAAGAUGAAUAUUUUGUUGGAAUAACUUGCUAUUAAAA